CCUACGGGUGGCAGCAGUCGAGAAUCAUUCACAAUGGGGGAAACCCUGAUGGUGCGACGCCGUGUGGGGGAAUGAAGGUCUUCGGAUUGUAAACCCCUGUCAUGUGGGAGCCAAUUAAAAAGAUAGUACCACACGAGGAAGAGACGGCUAACUCUGUGCCAGCAGCCGCGGUAAUACAGAGGUCUCAAGCGUUGUUCGGAAUCACUGGGCGUAAAGCGUGCGUAGGCUGUUUCGUAAGUCGCGUGUGAAAGGCGCGGGCUCAACCCGCGGACGGCACAUGAUACUGCGAGACUAGAGUAAUGGAGGGGGAACCGGAAUUCUCGGUGUAGCAGUGAAAUGCGUAGAUAUCGAGAGGAACACUCGUGGCGAAGGCGGGUUCCUGGACAUUAACUGACGCUGAGGCACGAAGGCCAGGGGAGCGAAAGGGAUUAGAUACCCCUGUAGUC
rnacentral:rRNA from 1 species